UUUCCGUAGGUGAACCUGCGGAAGGAUCAUUUAAUUCGAUCAAAACACCGCCAAUAUGGUAACUUGUAACCGUUCCUGGGUCCCCGAGGUUCUCCUUGGGUCCCGGGGUUGUUUAAAACACAACCGCUAAGGAGUUUAUACUAAAUAAAAAAGUCGCUCGACCGUCGGCCUGGCCGCGGAGGGUGCAAAUAACCAAGAAAAACCCCUAACAACGGAUGUCUUGGCUCUCGCAUCGAUAAAGAACGCAGC
rnacentral:misc_RNA from 1 species